rnacentral:rRNA from 1 species
GCUAAGUCGGGGCCAGGAGCCGCGGUAAGACGGAGGGGGGGGGCGUGGUGCGGAGGGACGGGGCGUAAAGGGCGCGCAGGCGGCUCCGUAAGUCAGAUGGGAAAGCCCCGGGCUUAACCGGGGAAUGGCAUGUGAGACUGGGGGGCUUGAGUGCGGGAGAGGAGAGUGGAAUUCCCAGUGUAGGGGUGAAAUUCGUAGAUAUUGGGAAGAACACCGGUGGCGAAGGCGGCUCUCUGGACCGUAACUGACGCUGAGGCGCGAAAGCGUGGGGAGCAAACAGGAUUGGAUACCCCAGUAGUC